AACGGUGUCUAGUCUAAACAAGGACAUUUGUAUUAUCACGUUAAAAACUAAGUGAUUAAGUGCAGGACAAUGGCAUCUAAACUUCUCGUCGCACUUUUCGUUUGUACUCUCCUGGCUGUAUCCAUCACAUCUGUUGAAGGAAUAUGUUACGAAUACCAUUGCGCGCGGCAAUGUCACCACCGGCGCCCGUUUUACGACGAGUACGCCUUUAAGUACCUGUGGCCGAACGUGUGUGGAAAGGUUGCAGUAGAGAGGUUCAACAUGAAGGCAUGCUGUAGGACCUUUGGACGGUAUUAACAGAGGUAUAUUUCAAACCAAAGCCACCAAUCCAUCAUUGACGCACUUGUUAUUCACAUCGAUACGUUGGCUAAGCCAAUGACAACUUUAUUGUUUUGUUUGUAAAUGAAAGCUUUUGUUAUUUAAACUGAAAUAAAACAAAAAAAACAGC